AGCUUUGCGCAGUGGCAGUAUCGUAGCCAAUGAGGUUUAUCCGAGGCGCGAUUAUUGCUAAUUGAACCUUAAUAAUCAAGGAG
rnacentral:snRNA from 13 species